UUUAGCAUUUACCCUCUUAUUAUAAAACGCGGUAUCAAAUAAGUAUCGGCUUUUGUACUACCUUUAAUCCACCUUUAAGUACGACCUUGAAAAAACGUUAUUACAAAACGCAGUUUAUCGCAAGUCCUAUUACUAUCUGUAGUACAAAAGAUAAACCAUCGAGCCCCCUAGUUUAACUGCAGUACUUAGUCGACAAACGUCAAAUUCCGACAUUAUUUACUUUUGAGGUUAUUUGUUUUGUGAUGAAAAAAACGAAAGUGGAUAUAAAUAUGUGUGAUUUGGAAUACUUGGAUGUGUUAGAAUACUAUUGAGUGUCCGGGGACCUAACAGAAUGCGUCAUCGACAAAAUCUCUUCAAAUUACCUGACGACAAUUUUCGAUAUAAAUAUCGAUUUACGUUUUUCGAAAUAAUAGUCAAUUGAAUGCAUGAUGAUAAUCCAGGAUGAUCCUAUGAUGCUCAACUGGGCUCGCCAUAAAAUUCAAGACUAUUUUGGCGUUUUGCACGCCGUAUCUCUGCCAGUAAUAUGCAAUGUUUGUAAAAGACUGGAAGCUUGCUAAAAUGUACAAAAAUGCCUAGAUGAGAAAGGGAACAAGAUUGUGUGAUGAAGAACAGUGUCCAACAUGUAUCAGUGCAUUUGACUGUAUAAAUAGACAUCGGAAUAAAAUAUAAUUUUCUACUUU